CUCAGUCUCAGGGAAGGGGUUGGUGGAAAGGAAAAGGGUAGAUGAUCUCAGUGAUUCAGUGAUAUUGAAAUGCUAACUCAACAUGCCCCGCCCAGCUGCUGGCUGUUAUUCGAGCCUAUAACUAGUGUAUAUAUGGUUAAACCCUUCAGGGAAUGCCUAAGCCUGCCAGCCCUAGCAGUGGCAGCAUGACAGGUGAUGCAAGAACAGUUCUUGUUGUUCAGAAACAUCCACAGACGAGACUGAUAGAGUGAUAGCGUAAUGAUCAAGCACCGACCGGGAGAUAUGGUGCUAACGACCCUAAGAUGACUGGCUUCCUGCCAGCCUGCGCCCAACACCUAUACAUAUAAGCGGCCUACCGUUACAGAU
rnacentral:sRNA from 2 species